UUAAAUUCAUAUACAAUAGGCAUAGCAUGAACAAAUGAAAAUAAUGAUUUGUUGGAGAAAAGACAGUGUGAGAGUAGGGGCCAUGUGAGAAGAUGAAAGCUCAGAGAAAGAGAAGGAAGUGGAUCAUAUAGUCAUGUGAGUGUGGCCAGCACCGUGUUCUCGUGUCUAAGUCCAUGCACACACCAUGCAUUGACUGCCAUAGACUGAUAAAGCCAUGGUCUUAGAAGAAGAAGAAGAAGAAGACUAGUUGGGGGUAAGGUGGUCACUGGUCAGUGGUCACAGACCCACACACACGUGCAUGCAGGGGAGGUGGUCCAUAAAACGAGCACAAAGGAAUUUUGUAUGCAUCAUCAUGGGUUAUAAGACAUGGGCGGUGGUAGGACAUGAAGCACAUCAACAGCUGAACCUUGGAUCAAAGCAUCAACUUCUCAGCCUCCAUCUCUUUUGUUUUGUCUUCCUAGUAUUUUUUUUAAAGAAUUUUGUUAAGUAUAUCAACGACUUUUAGAUGAAUUGGUAAACCUUCUAACUUCAUUUUUAUAUAGAGUUUCCAUUUGACCUAAGGUCAACACUUUUAGUGCAGUUUUCAUAUCAACAGUAGGAACCACUAGUUACGAAUUAUGAUGUUGAAGCCACUAAUUUUCACAAGACAAAUGAUUCUUAGUGUCUAAGAAAGCUAUGAUGGCAGUCCUGUACAGAGUUUCCUGGCCUUUUAUUCCGGAUUAUAUGUCGGAAAUGAAUGAAAAGGGUUGAUCAUGGGGUCUUGGGGAAGAGAAUUUUUCUAUAAUAACAGACAUUCUUUUGGUAACAAGAACAAUCAUAAUAACAGGCUACAAGAGCAACCACUCAUUAGGCUUAAUUUCUAUUGUGGAAUGGAAUUCCAUUGACGUCUGAUUAAACACUACUAUAUAGCAAUACAACAACAAUGGCCACUUUCAUUUAAGGUCAGUUUUCCAGAUCUCAGAAGAACACA